GACGAACGCUGGCGGCGUGCUUAACACAUGCAAGUCGAGCGGUAAGGCCCUUUCGGGGGUACGACGAGCGGCGAACGGGUGAGUAACACGUGGGUGACCUCGCCCUCCAGCUCUGGGAGUAAGCCUGGGAAACCGGGUCUAAUACCGGAUAUGACUCCAUGACGCAUGUUGUGGGGUGGAAAGCCUUGUGCGGCUGAGGAUGGGCCCGCGGCCUAUCAGCUUGUUGGUGGGGUGAUGGCCUACCAAGGCGACGACGGGUAGCCGGCCUGAGAGGGCGACCGGCCACACUGGGACUGAGACACGGCCCAGACUCCUACGGGAGGCAGCAGUGGGGAAUCUUGCGCAAUGGGCGAAAGCCUGACGCAGCGACGCCGCGUGAGGGAUGACGGCCU
rnacentral:rRNA from 1 species